rnacentral:rRNA from 1 species
GACGAACGCUGGCGGCGUGCUUAAUACAUGCAAGUCGAACGGAAAGGCCCUGCUUUUGUGGGGUGCUCGAGUGGCGAACGGGUGAGUAACACGUGAGUAACCUGCCCUUGACUUGGGGAUAACUUCAGGAAACUGGGGCUAAUACCGGAUAGGAGCUCCUGCUGCAUGGUGGGGGUUGGAAAGUUUCGGCGGUUGGGGAUGGACUCGCGGCUUAUCAGCUUGUUGGUGGGGUAGUGGCUUACCAAGGCUUUGACGGGUAGCCGGCCUGAGAGGGUGACCGGCCACAUUGGGACUGAGAUACGGCCCAGACUCCUACGGGAGGCAGCAGUGGGGAAUAUUGCACAAUGGGCGGAAGCCUGAUGCAGCAACGCCGCGUGCGGGAUGACGGCCUUCGGGUUGUAAACCGCUUUCGCCUGUGACGAAGCGUGAGUGACGGUAAUGGGUAAAGAAGCACCGGCUAACUACGUG